rnacentral:lncRNA from 1 species
UAUUUAGACCCCUCUAUAACGAAAUUUGUUUUACAUGCACACGUAUAAAAAUUGCUUUUUUUAUCCAACGCAAUCAUAGGUUUGAACGUUGUUUUCAAUUUAGACUUGUUUAUAUUUAUUUCGUUUGGGCUUGUAUUAUAUUUUCCAUCCGGUUUAUAUAUUCCGUUCAUCCUAUUUCAACUCUUUAAAAUUCAAGAGUUUAUCCUAAAUUGAGGUAAAUUAUAUGGCCUUCCAAAUACUGUUUCGAUCCCUAACACCACUGAAGAGACAUUAAUUGUCGAAAUCCGGAUAUGGUGUAAAAACAAUU